rnacentral:rRNA from 1 species
AUUGAACGCUGGCGGAAUGCUUUACACAUGCAAGUCGAACGGCAGCACGGACUUCGGUCUGGUGGCGAGUGGCGAACGGGUGAGUAACAUAUCGGAACGUAUCCAAUAAUGGGGGAUAACUAAUCGAAAGGUUGGCUAAUACCGCAUACGCCCUACGGGGGAAAGCAGGGGAUCUUCGGACCUUGCGUUAAUGGAGCGGCUGAUAUCUGAUUAGCUAGUUGGUGAGGUAAAGGCUCACCAAGGCGACGAUCAGUAGCUGGUCUGAGAGGACGACCAGCCACACGGGAACUGAGACACGGUCCAGACUCCUACGGGAGGCAGCAGUGGGGAAUUUUGGACAAUUGGCGCAAGCCUGAUCCAGCCAUUCCGCGUGAGUGAAGAAGGCCUUCGGGUUGUAAAGCUCUUUCGCAAGGGAAGAAAGCUUACUUUCUAAUAAAGAGUGAGGUUGACGGUACCUUGAUAAGAAGCACCGGCUAACUACGUGCCAGCCGCCGCCGUAA